UUAAUUGAAGAGUUUGAUCAUGGCUCAGAUUGAACGCUGGCGGCAGGCCUAACACAUGCAAGUCGAGCGGCAGCACAGAGGAACUUGUUCCUUGGGUGGCGAGCGGCGGAC
rnacentral:rRNA from 1 species